rnacentral:tRNA from 1 species
GCGUCGGAUUGCUAAUCCGUUGUGCGAGUUAUUCGUACCGAGGGUUCGAAUCCCUCUCUUUUCG